UGAAGGCCUCCCUUUUCUCCUGUUAUUUAAUAGGCUCGGGUGUUCUAGAAGGAUUUAACAUGAAAAACCAUUCAUCCAGACUUCAUCGUGCUGAAGAAAUAAGAUGAGUCUACCACCUCUGUUCAUCUAGCGAGGUCCUGGAUCUCUUCUACCUCACACAGCAUGAGAAAACACACAAACCAGAGAGGAGCUGCAGAAUUUCUCUGUGAAGAGAAGAACAGAAAAGACGAAUUCUCCAGGGAUGUUCAUAAGCUAUUCCCUUCCUUCACCAAAAUUUCCUCAGCUUCUGCUACAUGUUUAAUCCAAGAAGGAAUGGAACUCUGGCUGAGCAUCUGGGUUUUCAGUUUGUGGUGGACAGAAAAUGAGAAAACUCCACCUAUUUAGGACUGAGGAACAGAAAGGACACAGGUAA